CAGUGGGGAAUAUUGGGCAAUGGAGGAAACUCUGACCCAGCGACGCCGCGUGCGGGAUGAAGGCCUUCGGGUUGUAAACCGCUUUCAGUAGGGAAGAAGCGAAAGUGACGGUACCUACAAAAGAAGCACCGGCUAACUAUGUGCCAGCAGCCGCGGUAAUACAUAGGGUGCAAGCGUUGUCCGGAAUUAUUGGGCGUAAAGAGCUCGUAGGUCGUUUGUUACGUCGGAUGUGAAAACCUGAGGCUCAACCUCAGGCCUGCAUUCGAUACGGGCAAACUAGAGUUUGGUAGGGGAGACUGGAAUUCCUGGUGUAGCGGUGGAAUGCGCAGAUAUCAGGAGGAACACCAAUGGCGAAGGCAGGUCUCUGGGCCAAUACUGACACUGAGGAGCGAAAGUCUGGGGAGCGAACAGGAUUAGAUACCCCCGUAGUCCGG
rnacentral:rRNA from 1 species